rnacentral:rRNA from 1 species
UACAGAGGUGGCAAGCGUUGUUCGGAAUUACUGGGCGUAAAGGGCGCGUAGGCGGUCUUGCAAGUCCCGUGUGAAAUCCCUCGGCUCAACUGAGGAACUGCACGGGAAACUGCUUGGCUUGAGUUCGGGAGAGGGAAGCGGAAUUCCGGGUGUAGCGGUGAAAUGCGUAGAUAUCCGGAGGAACACCGGUGGCGAAGGCGGCUUCCUGGACCGACACUGACGCUGAGGCGCGAAAGCUAGGGGAGCAAAC